rnacentral:rRNA from 1 species
AUUGAACGCUGGCGGCAGGCCUAACACAUGCAAGUCGAACGAGUGGCGGACGGGUGAGUAAUGUCUGGGAAACUGCCCGAUGGAGGGGGAGAACUACUGGAAACGGUAGCUAAUACCGCAUACCAUCGGAUGUGCCCAGAUGGGAUUAGUUAGUGGGUGGGGUAACGGCUCACCUAGGCGACGAUCCCUAGCUGGUCUGCGAGGAUGACCAACCACACUGGAACGGAGACACGCACCAGACUCCUACGGAAGGCAGCAGUGGGGAAUAAUGCAUAAGCGACGGAAGACUGAUGCAGCCAUGCAGGGUGUAUGAAGAAGGCCUUCGGGUUGUAAAGUACUCUCAUUUAGGAGGCGUUACUUGCAGAAGAAGUACCGGCUAACUCCGUGCCAGCAGCCGCGGUAAUUC